UACGGAGGGUGCAAGCGUUAUCCGGAUUUACUGGGUUUAAAGGGUGCGUAGGUGGGUAGGUAAGUCAGUGGUGAAAUCUUCGGGCUUAACCCGGAAACUGCCAUUGAUACUAUUUAUCUUGAAUACUCUGGAGGUAAGCGGAAUAUGUCAUGUAGCGGUGAAAUGCUUAGAUAUGACAUAGAACACCAAUUGCGAAGGCAGCUUACUACAUAGUUAUUGACACUGAGGCACGAAAGCGUGGGGAUCAAACAGG
rnacentral:rRNA from 1 species